AGUGAACGCUGGCGGUAGGCCUAACACAUGCAAGUCGAACGGCAGCACAGUAAGCUUGCUCUUACGGGUGGCGAGUGGCGGACGGGUGAGGAAUACAUCGGAAUCUACUUUUUCGUGGGGGAUAACGUAGGGAAACUUACGCUAAUACCGCAUACGACCUACGGGUGAAAGCAGGGGAUCUUCGGACCUUGCGCGAUUGAAUGAGCCGAUGUCCGAUUAGCUAGUUGGUGGGGUAAAGGCCUACCAAGGCGACGAUCCGUAACUGGUCUGAGAGGAUGAUCAGUCACACUGGAACUGAGACACGGUCCAGACUCCUACGGGAGGCAGCAGUGGGGAAUAUUGGACAAAGGGCGAAAGCCUGAUCCAGCCAUGCCGCGUGUGUGAAGAAGGUCUUCGGAUUGUAAAGCACUUUAAGUUGGGAGGAAGGGCAGUAAGUUAAUACCUUGCUGUUUUGACGUUACCAACAGAAUAAGCACCGGCUAACUUCGUG
rnacentral:rRNA from 1 species